AACGAACGCUGGCGGCAGGCUUAACACAUGCAAGUCGAGCGCCCCGCAAGGGGAGCGGCAGACGGGUGAGUAACGCGUGGGAAUCUACCCAUCUCUACGGAAUAACGCAUGGAAACGUGUGCUAAUACCGUAUACGUCCUUCGGGAGAAAGAUUUAUCGGAGAUGGAUGUGCCCGCGUUGGAUUAGCUAGUUGGUGGGGUAAAGGCCUACCAAGGCGACGAUCCAUAGCUGGUCUGAGAGGAUGAUCAGCCACACUGGGACUGAGAAACGGCCCAGACUCCUACGGGAGGCAGCAGUGGGGAAUAUUGGACAAGGGGCGCAAGCCUGAUCCAGCCAUGCCGCGUGAGUGAUGAAGGCCCUAGGGUUGUAAAGCUCUUUCACCGGUGAAGAUAAUGACGGUAACCGGAGAAGAAGCCCCGGCUAACUUCGUGCCAGCCGCCGCGGUAAUAC
rnacentral:rRNA from 1 species